rnacentral:rRNA from 1 species
GCCGAACCGUGCGAACGUUGUUCGGAAUCACUGGGCUUAAAGGGCGCGUAGGCGGGUGGCCAAGUCAGGGGUGAAAUCCUCCAGCUUAACUGGAGAACAGCUUCUGAUACUGGCUGUCUUGAGGGGGGUAGGGGCAUGUGGAACUUCCGGUGGAGCGGUGAAAUGCGUAGAUAUCGAGAGGAACACCUGCGGCGAAGGCGGGUUGCUGGGCUGACACUGACGCUGAGGCGCGAAAGCCAGGGGAGCGAACGGG